rnacentral:rRNA from 1 species
UACGUAGGAGGCGAGCGUUGUCCGGAUUCAUUGGGCGUAAAGAGCGCACAGGCGGCUUGGUAAGUCGGAUGUGAAAUCCCGAGGCUCAACCUCGGGUCUGCAUCCGAUACUGCCCGGCUAGAGGUAGGUAGGGGAGAUCGGAAUUCCUGGUGUAGCGGUGAAAUGCGCAGAUAUCAGGAGGAACACCGGUGGCGAAGGCGGAUCUCUGGGCCUUACCUGACGCUCAGGCGCGAAAGCUAGGGGAGCGAACUGG